rnacentral:rRNA from 1 species
UACGAAGGGGGCUAGCGUUGCUCGGAAUUACUGGGCGUAAAGGGAGCGUAGGCGGAUAGUUUAGUCAGAGGUGAAAGCCCAGGGCUCAACCUUGGAAUUGCCUUUGAUACUGGCUAUCUUGAGUACGGAAGAGGUAUGUGGAACUCCGAGUGUAGAGGUGAAAUUCGUAGAUAUUCGGAAGAACACCAGUGGCGAAGGCGGCUCACUGGCUCAUACUGGACGCUGAGGUGCGAAAGCGUGGGGAGCAAACAGG